GCCAGCAAACAGAUAAUCAAAUUGAUAUAACAGUGUAACCGAAAAAGCAUUGGCACACACAAUAGUCUUGUUCUUUUUUGCUUUUUUUUUUCUUCAGAUAGACUCGAUAUACUAAAAAGAUUAAUUAUUUCAAAGUAAUUUGAUAUGUAAGAUUUACAGAUCUCUGUGAAAUCUUCCUUGCCGUAACUUCUGCUCAUUAAGUCAUUCUACUUCUCUCCCUUGCCUUGGUUUCCACAAGUACUUGCUUCUCCGCAGAUGCGCUUCUGCAGAUGCUCCAACCUAGCCUCUCGCGUUUUGCAUUCUACAAUCAUGGUUGGGCAUAUGACCAUUUUCAGGCGCUGGAUAGUUCAGGUCAUCAUGUUCAGGGACAGCAGCGUCUGCUGAUGAGUCGAAAGGACUACUAGUGAAAGAUGGCAUCAUUACUGUCGAUAUCUCAGACAUAGCUUGGAAUAGAGGAUUCAACCCAGUAACUCUUUUAACAGUUUCUUCAGCCAUCUUCACCUUUGCUCUCAA
rnacentral:misc_RNA from 1 species